rnacentral:rRNA from 1 species
GACGGACCACACGAACGUUAUUCGGAAUCACUGGGCUUAAAGGGUGCGCAGGCUGUGCAGAAAGUCGGGUGUGAAAUCCCUCGGCUUAACCGAGGAACUGCGCCCGAAACUACUGUGCUCGAGGGAGACAUAGGUGAGCGGAACUUAGGGUGGAGCGGUGAAAUGCGUUGAUAUCCUAAGGAACACCGGUGGCGAAAGCGGCUCACUGGGUCUCUUCUGACGCUCAUGCACGAAAGCCAGGGGAGCGAACGGG